UUCCCAGGGAAGAGUUUUCUAACGUUGCACCAUCGAAAUGGACUGGCAAAAUGACUCUCCAGACAUGGAUGAACUCUUUUCUAUUAAGGAUGGUUACAUCUUGAGCAAAAGAGGAAAACUGCUGCCUUGUAUUAAACUGAAUUCUAAGUGGUAAAAAAGAUAACUCCGUCUUCCUUCCGGAAACUUGGCAUGACCCCUGGCUCUGACUGGGAGCUUCUCCUCUCUGUUCCCACGGUGUCCUGUGAACCCAUCAACCACACCACUUACAGCACAAUGGUGAAACCACUGACCAGCAUGCCCGUCCUCUCUCCCACACUAUACACUCUAUCCUAUUCAUCUCUGGCAUUCUAACAUCUGGGCAGAGCCUGUUUCCUAGCAAUGGGCUCAGGCUGGGUAAAAUCACCUGGAACAAAAUGUCAUGGGUCCCUUCCUGCUCUGUGAGUAUCCUGCCAUUCGCACACUUAUCCACCCUGCCUGCUCCUCCCCUUGGCCGGCAGCCUAAGGACUAUUAAUACAGAACAGCGUGAUCAGCUCCCACGGCCUUUGCCCAUGACCACCUGCCACAUCGCUUUCAGCAUCACGCUCCGCUUUCAGUACAAAACGGGAAGGAAAAGUGGCACGGGCAACACAGCAACUGAAAUGUGGUCGCAGGGCCUUCACCGUCUUGCACAGUGGAAGAAACCUGUGUGUGAUGUGAAAGCUCCAUGUAAAAAGCAGUCACGAAGCUGCGGUAUUGGAAGGAUCUGCACAUCAUCUGGCAAUCAGCAAGGAAUGGACCAACAAAGAGGGAGCUCAGAGGAACAGACACACAGAAGAGAUCCUUGAGUAGAGAUGCCGCCUCGCAAUCUUCACUUCUGAGAACAAGGGAGUAAUCAUAGGCCAAUCUUGGGAAAUGCACCCAGAAAGGAAGUAUCUAGAAGUAUGGUUUAGAGGAAGACUGCAGUGGGGAAGAAUGAAAUAGAACAACAAUAAGAACAGCAUCACUGGGGCAUAAACUGACAGAAGACGUGGAAGGGCUCACACUCCACACGUGACACAAAAUUCCAAUCAGCUAUAUCCUCAGGGUAAAACUGAAUGGCAUAACAUCCUGAAUGUGUCCGAUCUCGUCUACAGCCUGAAUUGGACCAAAGACCAAAGUCCACACCCCUCAAUCUCCCCCAGUCUUUAGUUGUAAUAAUAUAAAUAGUUUAUAUCCACCAUAUUUUCCCUUGUAUCGGGAUAGUGGAUAAUUGUUUUGCUGACCAGAGUAGAUGCUGAGUCCCUAGAGGAAAGGGAUCAUGUGUUUUAUUCAUCUUUGUAUUUUCACUCUCUCUUCCUUCCCCAAUGCUUAUUCCCUCUCUUCCUUGCACACAGUAGAUAUACAAAUGUAUUCAAAUGCAUUGAAUCCAAGCUUUCCAGCCAACAUUAAAUCUGAUGUUGGCAAAGAAAUAGGAUAGGAAGCUAUACCAGAAAAGUCCCUGAGAUGUAAUUCUUCUGUAAGUCUAAAUUUAGAGGGGGGUGGGGGGGAGGAGGUAAUUCUGACUAUCUUAGCAAGGUCAUAUGGGGUGAGGAACAAUGGAAGACCUUUACACUUAAGCCAUCUUUGACCCAACCUUGCUUUUAGAAUAGAACUGAACGUAACAAUCCAUCAGCAGCCAAAGGAUGACAUAAAAGGAUGCCCUUGAUGUUCAACAUUCCUAAAUUCCUUCUCGUACUAUGAAGGCAAAGAGAUCUAUAAUCAUCUCUUCCUAGUUUGAAGAUUUCCAGGGACUACUCAUGUUGCAAGCCAGUAAUUCCAUCCAAUCUAAGAUGCCUCAUUAAUCACUAAGAAUUUGAAAAGGUCCUGACAAGAGAUCUCUUAACUUCAGAAUUGUUAAGAUCUUUUCAACUGUUGGACGCCAACCCUUGCCCAAUUAGUUUCCCUGACAAUUUCUGCAUCUAGUGCCCUCAGAGUGGGGACACAGUGACAUCUCUCACAUCUUUAAUUCUGGAAGUAUUCUUCCUUCCUCAAAGUACUGACCCAAUAAAUGGUCUCUGAGACAUCCGUUGAAGAGUCCAUGAUAGCCGUCUUCACAAUGAAUUAAAGAACGUCAUUUCCUAAUACCAUUUCAGGCAUAAUUAUUCUGCUACUAACCAUCGUUGUACUCUGUUCGAGCUCAGGGAGAAAACAGUCCAGGGCAAUUUCAGGGCCUUUGUAGUGUUCAUUAAUCUUUCAACAAUCUGAGCAUACUGUCAAGAACUGAGCAGGGACCCGAUUCCAUAGCCAUGAUAAAGAUUUUAGGCUUUUUGUAUCAUCUGAACCAGUCCUAUAAUCCUCUGCUUAAAUCAGGUACAAAGACAUAAUAGAUGCAGUCCCAAUCCUGGAUUGCUUUAAACUAAACAAAUGUAUUUGCCAGCCACUGUCCAACCCUUGAAUAUUUAAUACCAAAUAAGCCCCUUCUAAAGAUCAAAUCGUUAGGCUGCCACUUAGGCAUGUUUUGUAGCUGAUUCAUCAUGGAGGACCCACCGGGAUACUGUUCUAUUUAAAGUCAGCUAUUGCACUGGACCAAGCCAAAGUCUUAUCUUGCUCAAGGCAUUAAAUUCUUAGUAUUUCUCCUAUUUUCCAACAGGAGUAAUUUUUUCCCAUCUCACUGGGGCAGAAUUCAGAUAUCUCAAUCGAGUCACAAAGCGAUGCAGAAGAUUCACGGUUCUUUAUAGGCAUCCUUUCAGCCGCUGCUUGUCAGGAGAGAGCCUGGGCCUCCAGGGAAGAGUAGAAGGCAAGGUCCUAUCCAUGUAACAAUGCUGGGAGCCACCUUCAUAACUAGCAGCAGCAUAACCAGCUCUCACUUCAAGCAGCCCAGAAUGAAUAGAAAAUUCAGUCCUGACUACAAUCCAGCACUAGUCAAUGGCUCACCGAAGACGCCUGAUGUUUGUGAGACAGAAAGAGGUCUUGCUAACCCUUCCCCAUAGUUCCAACACUGCACUUGUGUUAAGACAAUGAAGAUCAAUAGAGGGAACAUUUAACUUGGUCCCGAGAAGAAAUAUCAUCAUUGGGCUGUACUGGGGGGGUACACAUUCAUCCUUUCCCCAAGGUCAAAGCUGGGGCAGCCCAUUUAAUCAGUCCUUGUAUCAACUGAAAAAGUGUACCAUGAGGAUGUUGGCCAGGGGGUUACGCAGUGUCUGUUUCAUAAGGACCCUGGAAAUAAACUCCUGAGUAUCCAAACUCAUAGUAAGAAAAAUAAGAAAAACAGUGUAACAUGGGUGUUUUCCCAUUUUACCUCAUCUGUCACAAAAUUUGGCAAAAUUCAGUAUUUAAUCAGAGUGAUUUUAAUGAGAUCACUUGCAAUGCCUAUUCAUUUGCCUCCUUCUAAAUGAUAUUUGUUCUGUUUUAUCCUUUAAGUAUGUUGUAUCCAAUCUCAUAAACUGCUUCAAACCAUAUGCUAAAAAUAAUAUAUAUAAGAUAUGCCA